AGGCGACCGGCAUCACGGAAGAUCUAUACCAUAGAGCUUACACCUUCUGCACCAGGCUGCUGACCUUGCCAGCCCCCUACUCUACAGUCGCCUUGGACUGUGCCAUAAGGCUGAAAACAGAGACGGCUGUCCCAGGUACGCUGUAUCAGCGGACUGUCAUUGCGGAGCAGAACCUGAUAAGUGAGCUCUACCCUUACCAGGAGAGGUAAGAGGCCUGGGAGUUGGUUGCUGCCCUCUGUUCCCUCGAGGUGUUGGGAGCGGGCAACUGAUCACUGACAGGAAGACAAAAGAGAAGGCUAGAUAAAAAACAAACUUAGCAAAAA
rnacentral:lncRNA from 1 species